UUUCUGAUCCUUCCGUGUAAUAUUGGCAUGGAGAAACAGGGCAGUAGUACAGCCUCAGAGUCAUCACCAAGUCGGGAGGUUUCUCCAUUAGAUGGCGUAAUUGAAGAUAUGCAGUCAAGGAUCAAGAGACUCGAACGGUGGCAUACAAUCAAUACAGUGCUAUGGACAUUUCUUAUGUCUGCCCUUGUCGGUUAUUCUCUCUAUCAAAGAAAACACAAGUGAUGCUUUUUUAUUUCGGUGAAUUUUCUCAAAGAAUUCUUACCUUUUUGUAUUUAUAUAAAUAUAAAAACUCUGCUAAAUGUAUCAUGCGAACUCUUAAUCUCCGUCCUGAGCCUUUCAAAGUAAAACUAGUGGAUAUACUAGGCUUAACCAAUCCCAGCCUUUAUUUUGCCCCCCAUGGCCAAUUGAUGUACAUCACAUUUCAGUUUCAAUUUUUCACAUUCUGAAGUUUAUUUCGCGCAGUUUUGCUUUUGUUGGGCACAUGUAGCACCGCAAUGUAAAUGUUGUUUUAAAGAAAAUGAGAACUUAAUUUGAGACUUAAUUGUUGUGCAAGGUGAGCUUGCAAGCAAUCUUGCAAUCUGAUUA